rnacentral:tRNA from 5 species
CGGAGCGUAGCGCAGUCUGGUAGCGCACCUCGUUCGGGACGAGGGGGUCGGAGGUUCGAAUCCUCUCGCUCCGACCA